GAAUCAGAGCAGUAGGGUACAGAGAGCCACAAAGCACAAGAGAACAGGAAAGAAAAGAGGUGUUAACACAGAAAAAAGUUGUUUCAGUGUUAUAGUCAUCCAAAACUGAUAUGGUAAGAAAGGCAAAGCCAUGACUGUGGGGGAAAAGAAUGAACAGCUGUAGGUCUGUGCGACAACAGUUUUGAUUUUGUAAUCACUAAAGCAUAUACCAUCUGCUUGCUUUAUUUAAAACUGCUCAGUCUGUCUGAGAUCAGGCUGCUCUAACCAUUUACCAGUAGAUGACGGGGCAAUGUUCUAUCCUAUUCUUUCAGUUGAAUGAAUUAAUGAAUUCCUAAACUACUGGGUGAACUUUCCUUGCAUAAAAAGAUGGUUUGAUGUUUGCUAUAAGAAAACAGAGGAUGAAACAAUUAACAUAUUUCCUUUGCUUUCCUGUAUCAGAGGAAGUUUGCUCCAUCUGACUUCCCAGACAGCUACAUAUAUUUCUGACAAUUUUGCUGUUUAGAAAAUCAGAAAUCACAGCUCAGAAGAAGAAGAAAUGCAAGCAUCAAACUUCAAACAUUACCUGAGCUGCUAGCAGUGGUUGCGUGUCCUCCAUUUCAAUUACAGUAUCCCGGCGAGGUGGAGCAGAGAGUAGACUAACUGUAAGCCAAAGACUUUAUUAAGAUCAUAUCUCCAAGUAAGUACACAACACAAGAAAGCUGUUCAUCAGUACAGUAUGCACAGUAAACACCAAAGCUCAUUUACCCAGUCCAGUUUUAAGUGCUACAGUGCAAAUGGCUGAAUUGGGACAAUUUAGGAGCUGACAGCCUCCGAUAGAGCAAGACUGAACCUGCUGGAGCUGGAGGAUGGAGACCUCAUGAACUGGAUCUGCCAAGGGAGAAAGAAUCAUAUGGCAGCACAGCCUUAGCCUCCAAAAAGAGCCACUGACUUGAGUCACUCUGAGAAAUAACCUAUGACAGUUGUUUAAUGAGGGUCAUGAACCUUUCUCAACAUUUAGUGAAAUAAGCACACAAAAAAAUCCAUUGUAUGUGAACAACAAAAGGCAAUAGUAUUUUUAGAGUUAUUAAAAAGCUUUGACUAUUGGCUGGCUAUUGCUGUCUUAAAAAGUUCAGCUGAAAAUCUCUUCCUCAGCAAAGAAAACAGAGAGGGGAUAUCUUCCUCCACACUCUGAAGUUAAUUCCUUUAUUUCUGGCUGCAUAAAAUUAAAAGAA